rnacentral:misc_RNA from 1 species
GAUGAAGAACGUAGCGAAAUGCGAUAAGUAGUGUGAAUUGCUGAAUUCAGUGAAUCAUCGAAUCUUUGAACGCACAUUGCGCCCUUUGGUAUUCCAAAGGGCAUGCCUGUUCGAGCGUCAUUUGUACCCUCAAGCUUUGCUUGGUGUUGGGCGUCUUGUCUCUAGCUUUGCUGGAGACUCGCCUUAAAGUAAUUGGCAGCCGGCCUACUGGUUUCGGAGCGCAGCACAAGUCGCACUCUCUAUCAGCAAAGGUCUAGCAUCCACUAAGCCUUUUUUUCAACUUUUGACCUCGGAUCAGGUAGGGAUACCCGCUGAACUUAAGCAUAUCAAUAAGCGGAGGA